UAACGAAGGGGGGCUAGCGUUGCUCGGAAUCACUGGGCGUAAAGGGUGCGUAGGCGGGUCUUUAAGUCAGGGGUGAAAUCCUGGAGCUCAACUCCAGAACUGCCUUUGAUACUGAAGAUCUUGAGUUCGGGAGAGGUGAGUGGAACUGCGAGUGUAGAGGUGAAAUUCGUAGAUAUUCGCAAGAACACCAGUGGCGAAGGCGGCUCACUGGCCCGAUACUGACGCUGAGGCACGAAAGCGU
rnacentral:rRNA from 1 species